rnacentral:lncRNA from 1 species
ACCCCGCCCCUCCCUUGCUUAGUCGCUCGGCUGGCCCGGCUCACCUUCGGGGUGAAGGCUACCAGCGAGCGUUAUAGCAGACGACUUUAAUAAAUGCAGGCGGCAGCAGGAACUCUGGGAACUUGGGUGCCCUUGCCUGGCAGUAAGGGUUGAAUUAUCCGGAUCUGAAAUACUUUACAGAGCCGAGGGGUGAUAGGCUCUGCAAAAGCACUUUUUGCCCCUCUCCUUUAUGCCAAUACUCGCUGACUGUGCACACAAGUCAUAUUCAGUAUUAAAUACAAACCGGUCUGUAAUUCAAUGGCUCUAGCAAGACGCCUCUGAGAGGGCCAGGUGGCGGGUGCAAGUUGCUCAUUAACCCUUUAGAGUCGCAGUUUGCAGAUCUGAGUUAGAUCCCCGGCUUUGAGGUCCUUCAGUUGCCCUCCUCCCCCACCUCCCCCCGCCACUGCGAGAAAAAUGUGCAAAGAGAAGGAAAUUUGCACAUCAAACGAGGGGCAAUCGCGGCGGUAGAUGAACUUGAUUAGGCAGACGCGUGAGAUCAAAGUGGCCGGGACCAAAGCGGACAGGGUCCAACGUGCCAGCACUGCCAAGAGAAGGCCUUUUGUACUCAGGUUAAAUAAGAACAUCCUGCAAGGAGUCUGUUCUUUUAUGCAGCCUAAAGAUCAAGUAAUAAUCAUUGACACUGAUACUGAGCAUGUCGAUUUUGAAGAGACUAGCAUGAACCUUGAAGAAUCAUGUUCUUCCUAGGAAUUACAAAUCCCCCGAUUCCAUGUCUAACAUAAUUUCUACUGGCCUCUUUGCUUCUCAUGCUUUAGUACCAGUGCUUCUGAAUUUGAAAGUCUUCAUGCAAAUUGCCCAGGUCUGUUGAAAACUUGCCUCGUAAAUGAUUUGCAUAUACAAGAACUCGGAAAAAGCAUCCUGUUUUGUUGAGAGGUGCACCAAGUGACUUUUUCAUCAUUGGUUUCAUAACGAGUUUGCUGGCAGCUGUGUCUCAGAAAAAGCUGUCUUCAGCAAGGCAGAAGCAGAAUGAAGGAGCUGGACUUGGAGAUCUCUCUCACCUCUGAAGUUGUGUAAGUGAAGUAUACUGACCCAGUGUGACCACGCUGCUAUUCGAAGACUUACUCAAAGUUUUCAAACAGACUAACCAUGUGGGACUGUGAUUUAGCAAGGAAAACAGCCAGAAUAAACAUGUCAGUGUCUCCGUUUUAUGGUGGCUUCAUGUGCAGCAUUGUGACCUAUACCUCGGAGUUUUUCUUAUACCAGAUGAAGCUUGUUCUAUAGUCUUCACAAGGACAUAACACUUGUCAUAAGUAAAUGUUUCUAUUCUCUUGAUAUCAUUCCGAUUAUAUCAAAACGUGCUUUGAAACAACAAGCAGUAGAAUCACUUGGUAUAAUCUUGUCCUCAGUUGACAUGUUUACUUAUUUUUAUCCAGCCUAUGUUUGAAGUCCAACAUGAGCUCAUUUCUCAUGCUGGGGUGGAAUGUAUGAAGGGAUCCAAUUCUUUUGCAUCUUUAGAGAUUAUCUCAUGAAGCAAGGUUCAAUUUAGAACUCUGAGAUCUAACACUGAUUACUUAACUUUACGAGGAAAUACACAAAAAAAUCUGAAUGUCCAGACAAAAGCUGGAAAAAAAAACUUAUCUGUAUCUGCUUCAUCCUUUAUAAAAUGGAAACCUACAAGUGUUUUCCUAAUAAAAUUGUAGUGAACCUGCACAAAGUGAGCAUCUCCAUCACAUUUGCUAUUACUAUUGUGGCUACUAUUAUUAUUAUUGCCUAAAGUAUUGUCUAAGAUGAACACAGAUUUAGAGAUACUGCUACACUAAAUAGCACUUUCUACUAUUUAGUUAAUGUCUAUAUCAUAAUUAGUAUACAAUCAUAGUAGAUUUAUUCAGCAUGACACUAUCAUAAUAACUUAUUUCAAAGAGGUUUUGAAAUAUGGAUUUUAUAAUAUAAAAUAUUUUGAGAAUCCUUCACCCAGGGAAGUUUUAUUUAUAUAAUUAUUAUCUACUUCUAAUAGAUCCUAUCUGCCCACAAAUCCCCAAUAAUACCAGCUCUACUUCUGCUGCAGUAUAAUGCUGCAUUAGCAAGUUCACCUCUAAUUUACUAGCUAACACACACCCUGGAGUCUCCUUAGAUAAUUCCCAAACCUCCUGCUUUCAUCUAACCAAAAUGAGUAUCUUUCGUUGUUGGUAAAUAUAUGAGUUUCAGACGACUACGGUGCAAGCUGGUGAGCCUUGCUUUUCUAAUUUAUGUUUUAAUUAAUUUCCUUUCCAACUUGCUCCAUUUUGUGCAUUCUUUUCCUCUCAUGUGUUUGCAAUACUUCCCAGGGAAUAACACCUACAUUUUGAAUUAUAGAUUUCUUGAAUGCAUCUUUUAGGUAAUUAAGGUGUUAACAAAGACAAGACUCAAGUAUGAUCCUUAAAGAAUUUCUUGGCCUGGCGCGGUGGCUCACGCCUGUAAUCCCAGGACUUUGGGAGGCUGAGGAGGGCGGAUCAUGAGGUCAGGAGAUCGAGACCAUCCUGGCUAACAUGGUGAAACCCCGUCUCUACUAAAAAAUACCAAAAAAAAUUAGCCAGGCGUGGUGGCGGGUGCCUGUAGUCCCAGCUACUCGGGGGGCUGAGGUGGGAGAAUGGCAUGAACCCAGGAGGCGGAGCUUGCAGUGAGCCGAGAUCGUGCCACUGCACUCCAACCUGGGCAACAGAGCGAGACUCCAUCUCAGGAAAAAAAAACAAAAAACAAAAAACAUUUUUUUGCAUGUUUAAUCAACCAUUAC